rnacentral:tRNA from 2 species
UUCCCGAUAGCUCAAUGGUAGAGCGCCUCGCUGUUAACGAGGAUGUUCAAGGUUCGAGUCCUUGUCGGGAAG